AGGGGCGUAGUUCAAUGGUAGAACAGCGGUCUCCAAAACCGCAGGUGCGGGUUCGAUUCCUGCCGCCCCUG
rnacentral:tRNA from 1 species